AUAGAGCAACGCUUCUAUACAGUUUUAGUAGGACCCCGUUAAUCUUCCUGUCGCCAAACUAGAGAUUAUCGGGGUUUUUGCUU
rnacentral:antisense_RNA from 1 species